rnacentral:rRNA from 1 species
AUUGAACGCUGGCGGCAGGCCUAACACAUGCAAGUCGAACGAGUGGCGGACGGGUGAGUAAUGUCUGGGAAACUGCCUGAUGGAGGGGGAUAACUACUGGAAACGGUAGCUAAUACCGCAUACCAUCGGAUGUGCCCAGAUGGGAUUAGCUAGGAGGUGGGGUAAAGGCUCACCUAGGCGACGAUCCCUAGCUGGUCUGAGAGGAUGACCGGCCACACUGGGACUGGGAGACGGUCCAGACUCCUAAGGGAGGCAGCAGUGGGGAAUAUUGCACAAUGGGCGCAAGCCUGAUGCAGCCAUGCCGCGUGUAUGAAGAAGGCCUUCGGGUUGUAAAGUACUUUCAGCGGGGAGGCGUUACCCGCAGAAGAAGCACCGGCUAACUCCGUGCCAGCAGCCGCGGUAAUAC